GGAGUUGUGGCUCAGUGGUAGAGCUCUCACCUAGCAAGUGAGAGGCCCUGGGUUUGACCCUCAGCACCA
rnacentral:tRNA from 1 species